UGAAAUCAUAUAUAAACUGUAUAACGUAAUACCUAUCAAGCCUUUCAUAAUACAAUCGUUACACAACAUAUUUUUCCUCUUUUACCAGCCCACUAGUAUCCAUGGGGAUCCAUAGGGGUCCCGCUACCUGUUAACCCUUAACACUUGAAAUCAUAUUCCAGGGCCGUCCCCAUACCCCGUCCGGUAUGGGCACCAAAACUAUAAACCUCAUUACCCCGUCCGGUAAUGAGGGUGAAACGGGCCGUCCCCAUACCCCGU
rnacentral:lncRNA from 1 species